rnacentral:rRNA from 1 species
AACGCUAGCUACAGGCUUAACACAUGCAAGUUGAGGGGCAGCAUGGUCUUGGCUUGCUAAGGCCGAUGGCGACCGGCGCACGGGUGAGUAACACGUAUCCAACCUGCCGUCUACUCUUGGACAGCCUUCUGAAAGGAAGAUUAAUACAAGAUGGCAUCAUGAGUCCGCAUGUUCACAUGAUUAAAGGUAUUCCGGUAGACGAUGGGGAUGCGUUCCAUUAGAUAGUAGGCGGGGUAACGGCCCACCUAGUCUUCGAUGGAUAGGGGUUCUGAGAGGAAGGUCCCCCACAUUGGAACUGAGACACGGUCCAAACUCCUACGGGAGGCAGCAGUGAGGAAUAUUGGUCAAUGGGCGAGAGCCUGAACCAGCCAAGUAGCGUGAAGGAUGACUGCCCUAUGGGUUGUAAACUUCUUUUAUAAAGGAAUAAAGUCGGGUAUGUAUACCCGUUUGCAUGUACUUUAUGAAUAAGGAUCGGCUAACUCCGUGCCAGCAGCCGCGGUAAUACGGAGGAUCCGAGCGUUAUCCGGAUUUAUUGGGUUUAAAGGGAGCGUAGAUGGAUGUUUAAGUCAGUUGUGAAAGUUUGCGGCUCAACCGUAAAAUUGCAGUUGAUACUGGAUAUCUUGAGUGCAGUUGAGGCAGGCGGAAUUCGUGGUGUGGCGGUGAAAUGCUUAGAUAUCACGAAGAACUCCGAUUG